GAUUUUUCUAUGCACAGAUGGGACGGCGUACGGGGGAUUUUAGGUCCAAUCUGGACCUGGGGUGAAUCGCACAGCGACGGGUGACCUCGUGACCCGAACCCGACAACUAACCUCGGAAGCGAAAACGAGAGGAGAA
rnacentral:sRNA from 1 species